rnacentral:lncRNA from 1 species
AGAAUAGGCGACAUGCACUGAACAAGGUAAAAAAGACAGAAAAUUAUCUGGAGAGGUGGCCGGAGGACACAUCAAGAAGCGCCUUGUACAUUGUUACUGCUGGAGCAGUAGCACGAUGAAGGAGUAUGUCAAGGAAGAGGAUGACAUGUCCCACCAACAGUGGCUCCGACUCAAGAAAGAAGGGACGGGAAUCGCAGGAUGUAGGUGACGGGGAUUCCAGGGUGCCAACCGUGCAGCGGCCUCAGAGAGCAACCUGAGCAGAUCGAAGCAAGUCUCCAGAAAACAUAGCUCCAAAAAGAUGAAAUUGAUAUAUUUGAACAUAUGGGAAGAACAUCCACACUUCUGAAGAGGACUGGGGUCAAAUUGCUGAUAACUGCUUACAUAGCUAAGCAAAUUUUUAAAAAAGAAUAUUAACUUU